UUGAUUUGAAAGUCAGCAAUCUGUGUUUCCCAGUUUCAGAAUGGAUCCUCUGACAUACCUGUUCUGUGUUCUCUACCUUUAUAUCCAAGCUUCAAGUGGUGAGAUUGUGAUGACACAGAAACCAAGUCAUAUCUCGGUGUUUCCUGGAGAAAAGGCCAUUAUCUUGUGUACUUCCAGUUCCAGCACCUAUAUUUCUUCUAUUUCCAAAUAUGAAGUCAACUGGUAUAAGCUUAAAGAAGGAAAUCUUCCACACCUUCUCAUAUAUUUUGCCACCACUCUGCACUCUGGGACACCAGCCAGGUUCAGUGCGACUGGAUCAGGGAAUGAUUUCUCUCUGACGAUUGAUGGGGUGGAGGAAGAUGAUGCAGGAGAUUAUUACUGCUCCAGUGAUUAUGGCUUCCCCAUCACACAGUGA